GAAGAACGCAGCGAAAUGCGAUAAGUAAUGUGAAUUGCAGAAUUCAGUGAAUCAUCGAAUCUUUGAACGCACAUUGCGCCCGCCAGUAUUCUGGCGGGCAUGCCUGUUCGAGCGUCAUUUCAACCCUCAAGCCCAGCUUGGUGUUGGGGAUCGGCACAGGCGCCCUCGGGCGCCAGCCGUCCCCUAAAUCUAGUGGCGGUCCCGCUGCAGCCUCCUCUGCGUAGUAGUUUUCUCCUCGCAAGGGCAGCUCGGUGGCGACCUCGCCGUAAAACCCCCAACUUCUGAAAGGUUGACCUCGAAUCAGGUAGGAAUACCCGCUGAACUUAAGCAUAUCAAUAAGCGGAGGA
rnacentral:misc_RNA from 1 species